rnacentral:lncRNA from 1 species
UUUAGAAGGGAACCUUUUCGACACAGUGGCUGCGCACACGCGUUACGGUGACAGGGUAUGAACAUGGUGGUCAUCCUUGAGGUGUGACAGCCCCAGAAGGAUCUGCAGGAGCUACUGUAGACCAGGUCAUUUCAGGCCUGCUGAGGAGAACAGUGCUCUCCUCAGCCUGGAAGGCCCAACAGUAGUGGAGGACACUACUGUGAUUUGGGCCUAAAGUUUCAUUCAGAGGUGGAAACAAACGGAAGGAAAUUCAGCCACAGGGCACCGCUGCUCCUGAAGAAAUGAAUGUUUUCCUCCCAGAACUGAAUUACUGGUGUGCUGGGACUGGCAAAGACCAUGGAGGCCUGCUAAAGGAUGCUGCCCUCUGUGUGGUGAUGUACCCAAAUUUACCGUCAGCAAAGACCGAGCAGAUGGGGCUAUCUAGUCGUGGACUUCAACACUCCCAAACUGUAAGCUGUAUAAGCCUCUCUUCUGUAUAG